rnacentral:misc_RNA from 1 species
GAUGAAGAACGUAGCGAAAUGCGAUACUUGGUGUGAAUUGCAGAAUCCCGUGAACCAUCGAGUCUUUGAACGCAAGUUGCGCCCGAAGCCAUUAGGCCGAGGGCACGCCUGCCUGGGCGUCACACGUCGUUGCCCCCCCAUCUACUCCUUCGGGAUUGCGGGGGGCGGAUGAUGGCCUCCCGUGCGCCUCGUCGCGCGGUUGGCAUAAAUGCCAAGUCCUCGGCGACGCACGCCACGACAAUCGGUGGUUGCGAAACCUCGGUUGCCCGUCGUGUGCGGUCGUCGCGCAUCGAGGGCUCGAAAAAAUUGUCGGGCUCCGGCUCGGCUUUCAACGCGACCCCAGGUCAGGCGGGGUUACCCGCUGAAUUUAAGCAUAUCAAUAAGCGGA